GGCCACUGCUAUCGGGGUUCGAUUAAGCCAUGCGAGUUGAGAGGGUUAAGACCCUCAGCGGACUGCUCAGUAACACGUGGAUAACCUGCCCUAAGGUGGAGAAUAACCCCGGGAAACUGGGGAUAAUACUCCAUAGAUUAGAGACACUGGAAUGUUCUUUAAUCGAAAGUUCCGGCGCCUUAGGAUGGAUCUGCGGUCGAUUAGGUUGUUGUUGGGGUAACGGCCCAACAAGCCUGUGAUCGAUACGGGUUGUGGGAGCAAGAGCCCGGAGAUGGAAUCUGAGACACGAUUCCAGGCCCUACGGGGCGCAGCAGGCGCGAAAACUUUACAAUGCAGGAAACUGUGAUAAGGGAACCCCGAGUGCCCGUAUACGCGGGCUGUCCAGGUGUUUAAAACGCAUCUGAAGAAAGGGCCGGGCAAGGCCGGUGCCAGCCGCCGCGGUAAUACCGGCGGCUCGAGUGGUGGCCACUUUUAUUGGGCUUAAAGCGUCCGUAGCUGGACUCUUAAGUCUCUUGGGAAAUCCGCCGGCUUAACCGACGGGCGUCUAAGAGAUACUGGGAGUCUAGGGACCGGGAGAGGUGAGAGGUACUCCGGGGGUAGGAGUGAAAUCCUGUAAUCCCCGGGGGACCACCGAUGGCGAAGGCAUCUCACCAGAACGGCUCCGACAGUGAGGGACGAAAGCUGGGGGAGCGAACCGGAUUAGAUACCCGGGUAGUCCCAGCCGUAAACUAUGCGCGUUAGGUGUACUGGUGACCACGAGUCACUGGGGUGCCGAAGGGAAACCGUGAAACGUGCCGCCUGGGAAGUACGGUCGCAAGGCUGAAACUUAAAGGAAUUGGCGGGGGAGCACCACAACGGGUGGAGCCUGCGGUUU
rnacentral:rRNA from 1 species